rnacentral:rRNA from 1 species
UACGAAGGGGACUAGCGUUGUUCGGAAUUACUGGGCGUAAAGCGCACGUAGGCGGAUUUGUAAGUCAGGGGCGAAAUCCCGGGGCUCAACCUCGGAACUGCCUUUGAUACUGCAAAUCUCGAGUCCGAUAGAGGUGGGUGGAAUUCCUAGUGUAGAGGUGAAAUUCGUAGAUAUUAGGAAGAACACCGGUGGCGAAGGCGGCCCACUGGAUCGGUACUGACGCUGAGGUGCGAAAGCGUGGGGAGCAAACAGG